UGUUCUCUCGGUAACUGGCGCGUACGUGGAUUACCACGGGGAAGCCUGGAGAACAGUUUAAUUUAUGUAUCAGCCGCUCGCCUGGGCUGGGCAC
rnacentral:ncRNA from 2 species